UACGUAGGGUGCGAGCGUUGUCCGGAAUUACUGGGCGUAAAGAGCUCGUAGGUGGUUUGUCGCGUUGUUCGUGAAAAUCAGGGCUCAACCCUGGACCUGCAUUCGAUACGGGCAGACUAGAGUUCGGUAGGGGAGACUGGAAUUCCUGGUGUAGCGGUGAAAUGCGCAGAUAUCAGGAGGAACACCGGUGGCGAAGGCGGGUCUCUGGGCCGAUACUGACGCUGAGGAGCGAAAGCGUGGGGAGCGAACAGG
rnacentral:rRNA from 1 species